rnacentral:rRNA from 1 species
UACGUAGGGUGCAAGCGUUGUCCGGAAUUAUUGGGCGUAAAGAGCUCGUAGGCGGUUCGUCGCGUCGGCUGUGAAAACCCGGAGCUCAACUCCGGGCCUGCAGUCGAUACGGGCGGACUUGAGUGUUGCAGGGGAGACUGGAAUUCCUGGUGUAGCGGUGAAAUGCGUAGAUAUCAAGAGGAACACCUGAGGUGAAGACGGGUUGCUGGGCCAACACUGACGCUGAGGCGCGAAAGCCAGGGGAGCAAACGGG